rnacentral:lncRNA from 1 species
AGAUGAAUAGUGGGAAGCAAAAUUUCGAAACUGACUAAGUAACGUACGCGGGCAACUACCACCAUACGGGAUGAAUGACGCGUGGCAUACGGGAAUUAAUCAAUGGCUAAGAAUUUCUACGGAGAGACGAAAGGACGCGAAGGUUAAAAAGUAACCUCGGGGUACCGAAAAAGCACUGUAGAAAGGGCGGGCAUUUAAUGCUAGUGACGUCAUCC